ACGGAGUAAUGAAUGUAAGUUUGAUUUUAACUGUUAUCUUAGUAAACGAUAGUGUAACUUUGCCUAUUUUAGUUUAAAUGUUACAUUUAUUCUAAUUCGUGUUAGAAACGUAGUUUGUGUACCAUGUUACAUCAUGUAACUUAUAAUUGUUGCUGAAUGUUAGGGGGCUAAUAACGUACUUCAAAUAUAACGUUUACGAUUAAAUAUGUACGUUUGUUAACGUGUUAACAAGUGUCUAUUGAAUAAUAUAAACUGAAUGUUGUUUGACUGGAUUUAUAGAAGAUACAAGUGCAACACUGUUCAUACUUUUGUGUUUAAUUUUCCAAGUGAUUGUGUGAUAUCCUCCAACUUAUUGAUUUUUUUCUUUUACUAUAACAAUUGACAAAACGGUUAUUUUAACAACUACUCUUCUAUUUCUGCCUUUCAUCUUUUGUGUACCUGACUAUCAGUUAUGACAGGUAAGAAGCCAUUACAUUUCCAAAAUCUUACUAACUUAAGUGAAUUAAUUUUUGUUUUGUUUGUUUGUUUUUAUUUUUAGGAAGAAGCAGUGCACAUCAACCAUGUUGGAAGCAUUCAAGGAUGAGACAAAAUGGCAGGAGAAAGAAGUGCAGAACAUCAGAGUACAUCUUGAACAUCUUGCACAUUCAAUAAUACGCAAACACUGAAAGUCUUUACCCUCACUAACUAUUAUAGUAGCUUUAUGGCAAAUGCCUGCUCCCAUACGAUGCACUUCUGUUUUUAGGGAACUUAGGCUGUGAUGUUUGGCAGUUGUAGUAAUUUUGGGUUUGUUUAUAAUACCCAAUAGUUGCCAGAUGCUGUCCUGUCAGAAAUUCUUCUUUAUGUGGUCCUGGAGGAGGGUGAUGCUGCAUUGUUAAAUCUCUCUUUGGUUUGUUCCAAAUUCAGAAGUCUGGUGGACAGGCACACUUCUGCUGGCUUGAUGGUGUAACUAAAUGGAGUACAAAGUCAGAGCCAUCCCAGGACCUUUAGAAAAUGUUUACACUGCAGCCGACACUGCAAUGAAGUGUACAAUAACUGCUUACAGGUUAUGUUGGAAGAGGCAAACGAGGAGAGAUGCAAGGCUUUUACUCUGAAAACACCCAUCCAGGGUUUUGCAGUUAGUGGUGCAUGAUGCUACAGGAAGAAUAACUCUGUAUAACACAUCAGUUCUGUUCUUAAAGUCUUGUAAAUACCUCCAAGAUUGUUGUUCGUGAUUCUGAUUUCUGACAUCUACUAGGGAGUGCCCCUAAUAUUAUGUGUGUAAAACUAACUGCAAAACCCUGGAUAUAUAUAUAUAUAUAAGAAGUUUUUUUGUCUCAAAUCUCUUCUGCAAAUCAUGCACCAAAGGGUACUGUAUUUCUUAUGUUUUAUAUCUUAAGGACCACAAUGGAAAUAACCCUAUGGGCUUUUUGUAUUUUUAUCCUUUUGAACACUUCAUGUUGAACACUUCAUAUUGUUGUUCAAUAAAGUAUUUAAUCAAUUCAAUCAAUCAAAAUCUGUCUAAUACAUGUAUCCAAAGCUUUCUACUCUAAUUAACUUUUUGUGUCUUUUAUUAAACAAUAUAAUAUAUAUUCUCAACUCUUAAUACUUUGCAUUAAAGCAACACUUGGAGUAUAAAAUAACAACACCGGUUUCUAAUGUUCUGAAGGAUUGCAUAUGAAAUUGGUUAUAAUACUUGGCUUAUAAAGUUUGGAUAAUUUGCAUAUUACACAACGUGUGAAUGUGUCUGUUUCUUGAUUUACUAAUGUAAAAAAC